GAUGAACGCUAGCUACAGGCUUAACACAUGCAAGUCGAGGGGAAACGGCAUCGAAAGCUUGCUUUUGAUGGGCGUCGACCGGCGCACGGGUGAGUAACGCGUAUCCAACCUGCCCAUCACUUGGGAAUAACCUUGCGAAAGUAAGACUAAUGCCCAAUGACAUCCCACGAAGGCAUCCGAAUGGGAUUAAAGAUUUAUCGGUGAUGGAUGGGGAUGCGUCUGAUUAGCUUGUUGGCGGGGUGACGGCCCACCAAGGCAACGAUCAGUAGGGGUUCUGAGAGGAAGGUCCCCCACAUUGGAACUGAGACACGGUCCAAACUCCUACGGGAGGCAGCAGUGAGGAAUAUGGGUCAAUGGGCGAGAGCCUGAACCAGCCAAGUAGCGUGCAGGAGGACGGCCCUAUGGGUUGUAAACUGCUUUUAUAAGGGAAUAAAGUGGGUCACGUGUGACUUUUUGCAUGUACCUUAUGAAUAAGGACCGGCUAAUUCCGUG
rnacentral:rRNA from 1 species